UGGGAGGAAUCUUACUCAUUUGAAAAGAGCUUGACUGUUACAUCAGAGGACCCCAGGAUGGUCUGAAGGAGGAGGUGGGGAAGGUCAGGAGGUGGACAACAGAAUCAUUGUUGCCCAGUUUAGGCCUUAAAUAAUUUGUAUGUCUUGUGUUUCCUGUUUCAAGCUGAUGCACAAUGUUAGUAGGAUGAGGAAUACAUUUUAUAAGCUAUCCUCCUAUCUGUCAGAAAUGAAGAAUGAAUAAGUAAUGAUUGCAAAGCAUAUGAAAAAUCAUGAGGUCACACAUUCUGUCUUCUGAAUUAACACUUGAAGCAGAUCUGGUUUUUCUCAUGAGAUUGCAAAGCAACUGUUUAUUUGAGC
rnacentral:lncRNA from 1 species